AUUGAACGCUGGCGGCAGGCCUAACACAUGCAAGUCGAACGAGCGGCGGACGGGUGAGUAAUGUCUGGGGAUCUGCCCGAUCGAGGGGGAUAACUACUGGAAACGGUGGCUAAUACCGCAUACUAUCGGAUGUGCCCAUAUGGGAUUAGCUAGUAGGUGGGGUAAAGGCUCACCUAGGCGACGCUCUCUAGCUGGUCUGAGAGGAUGAUCAGCCAAACGGGGACUGAGACACGGUCCAGACUCCUACGGGAGGCAGCAGUGGGGAAUAUUGCACAAUGGGCGCAAGCCUGAUGCAGCCAUGCCGCGUGUAUGAAGAAGGCCUUAGGGUUGUAAAGUACUUUCAGCGGGGAGGCGUUACCCGCAGAAGAAGCACCGGCUAACUCCGUGCCAGCAGCCGCGGUAAUAC
rnacentral:rRNA from 1 species